AGCGUACACGGUGGAUGCCCUGGCAGUCAGAGGCGAUGAAGGACGUGCUAAUCUGCGAUAAGCGUCGGUAAGGUGAUAUGAACCGUUAUAACCGGCGAUUUCCGAAUGGGGAAACCCAGUGUGAUUCGUCACACUAUCAUUAACUGAAUCCAUAGGUUAAUGAGGCGAACCGGGGGAACUGAAACAUCUAAGUACCCCGAGGAAAAGAAAUCAACCGAGAUUCCCCCAGUAGCGGCGAGCGAACGGGGAGCAGCCCAGAGCCUGAAUCAGUGUGUGUGUUAGUGGAAGCGUCUGGAAAGGCGCGCGAUACAGGGUGACAGCCCCGUACACAAAAAUGCACAUACUGUGAGCUCGAUGAGUAGGGCGGGACACGUGGUAUCCUGUCUGAAUAUGGGGGGACCAUCCUCCAAGGCUAAAUACUCCUGACUGACCGAUAGUGAACCAGUACCGUGAGGGAAAGGCGAAAAGAACCCCGGCGAGGGGAGUGAAAAAGAACCUGAAACCGUGUACGUACAAGCAGUGGGAGCACAGAGCAAUCUGUGUGACUGCGUACCUUUUGUAUAAUGGGUCAGCGACUUAUAUUCUGUAGCAAGGUUAACCGAAUAGGGGAGCCGAAGGGAAACCGAGUCUUAACUGGGCGUUAAGUUGCAGGGUAUAGACCCGAAACCCGGUGAUCUAGCCAUGGGCAGGUUGAAGGUUGGGUAACACUAACUGGAGGACCGAACCGACUAAUGUUGAAAAAUUAGCGGAUGACUUGUGGCUGGGGGUGAAAGGCCAAUCAAACCGGGAGAUAGCUGGUUCUCCCCGAAAGCUAUUUAGGUAGCGCCUCGUGAAUUCAUCUCCGGGGGUAGAGCACUGUUUCGGCAAGGGGGUCAUCCCGACUUACCAACCCGAUGCAAACUGCGAAUACCGGAGAAUGUUAUCACGGGAGACACACGGCGGGUGCUAACGUCCGUCGUGAAGAGGGAAACAACCCAGACCGCCAGCUAAGGUCCCAAAGUCAUGGUUAAGUGGGAAACGAUGUGGGAAGGCCCAGACAGCCAGGAUGUUGGCUUAGAAGCAGCCAUCAUUUAAAGAAAGCGUAAUAGCUCACUGGUCGAGUCGGCCUGCGCGGAAGAUGUAACGGGGCUAAACCAUGCACCGAAGCUGCGGCAGCGACGCUUAUGCGUUGUUGGGUAGGGGAGCGUUCUGUAAGCCUGCGAAGGUGUGCUGUGAGGCAUGCUGGAGGUAUCAGAAGUGCGAAUGCUGACAUAAGUAACGAUAAAGCGGGUGAAAAGCCCGCUCGCCGGAAGACCAAGGGUUCCUGUCCAACGUUAAUCGGGGCAGGGUGAGUCGACCCCUAAGGCGAGGCCGAAAGGCGUAGUCGAUGGGAAACAGGUUAAUAUUCCUGUACUUGGUGUUACUGCGAAGGGGGGACGGAGAAGGCUAUGUUGGCCGGGCGACGGUUGUCCCGGUUUAAGCGUGUAGGCUGGUUUUCCAGGCAAAUCCGGAAAAUCAAGGCUGAGGCGUGAUGACGAGGCACUACGGUGCUGAAGCAACAAAUGCCCUGCUUCCAGGAAAAGCCUCUAAGCAUCAGGUAACAUCAAAUCGUACCCCAAACCGACACAGGUGGUCAGGUAGAGAAUACCAAGGCGCUUGAGAGAACUCGGGUGAAGGAACUAGGCAAAAUGGUGCCGUAACUUCGGGAGAAGGCACGCUGAUAUGUAGGUGAAGCGACUUGCUCGUGGAGCUGAAAUCAGUCGAAGAUACCAGCUGGCUGCAACUGUUUAUUAAAAACACAGCACUGUGCAAACACGAAAGUGGACGUAUACGGUGUGACGCCUGCCCGGUGCCGGAAGGUUAAUUGAUGGGGUUAGCGCAAGCGAAGCUCUUGAUCGAAGCCCCGGUAAACGGCGGCCGUAACUAUAACGGUCCUAAGGUAGCGAAAUUCCUUGUCGGGUAAGUUCCGACCUGCACGAAUGGCGUAAUGAUGGCCAGGCUGUCUCCACCCGAGACUCAGUGAAAUUGAACUCGCUGUGAAGAUGCAGUGUACCCGCGGCAAGACGGAAAGACCCCGUGAACCUUUACUAUAGCUUGACACUGAACAUUGAGCCUUGAUGUGUAGGAUAGGUGGGAGGCUUUGAAGUGUGGACGCCAGUCUGCAUGGAGCCGACCUUGAAAUACCACCCUUUAAUGUUUGAUGUUCUAACGUUGACCCGUGAUCCGGGUUGCGGACAGUGUCUGGUGGGUAGUUUGACUGGGGCGGUCUCCUCCUAAAGAGUAACGGAGGAGCACGAAGGUUGGCUAAUCCUGGUCGGACAUCAGGAGGUUAGUGCAAUGGCAUAAGCCAGCUUGACUGCGAGCGUGACGGCGCGAGCAGGUGCGAAAGCAGGUCAUAGUGAUCCGGUGGUUCUGAAUGGAAGGGCCAUCGCUCAACGGAUAAAAGGUACUCCGGGGAUAACAGGCUGAUACCGCCCAAGAGUUCAUAUCGACGGCGGUGUUUGGCACCUCGAUGUCGGCUCAUCACAUCCUGGGGCUGAAGUAGGUCCCAAGGGUAUGGCUGUUCGCCAUUUAAAGUGGUACGCGAGCUGGGUUUAGAACGUCGUGAGACAGUUCGGUCCCUAUCUGCCGUGGGCGCUGGAGAAUUGAGGGGGGCUGCUCCUAGUACGAGAGGACCGGAGUGGACGCAUCACUGGUGUUCGGGUUGUCAUGCCAAUGGCACUGCCCGGUAGCUAAAUGCGGAAGAGAUAAGUGCUGAAAGCAUCUAAGCACGAAACUUGCCCCGAGAUGAGUUCUCCCUGACUCCUUGA
rnacentral:rRNA from 1 species